ACCUAUGGCCAUAGUAUCAUAGUUCCAUUCUUAGCUUACCUCAGAAAAUAAGUAGACCCCUAACCUAGUUAGUAGUUAGAUGGAAAACUACUUGGGAAUAACAGGUGCUGUAGGUG
ensembl:rRNA n-R5s87 nuclear encoded rRNA 5S 87